rnacentral:misc_RNA from 1 species
GAUGAAGAACGUAGCGAAACGCGAUAUGUAAUGUGAAUUGCAGAAUUCAGUGAAUCAUCGAAUCUUUGAACGCACAUGGCGCCUUCCAGUAUCCUGGGAGGCAUGUCUGUCCGAGCGUCGUUUCAACCCUCGAGCCCCCGUGGCCCGGCGUUGGGGAUCUGCCACGGCAGGCCCCUAAAACCAGUGGCGGACCCGAAGGCCCUCUCCUUUGCGCAGUAGCAUCAGCCUCGCAUUGGGAUCCCUCGGCGUCCUGCCUCUAAACCCCCCACAAGUCCGCUCCGGCGGCACCAAGGUUGACCUCGGAUCAGGUAGGAAUACCCGCUGAACUUAAGCAUAUCAAUAAGCGGAGGA